UACGUAGGGGGCGAGCGUUGUCCGGAAUUAUUGGGCGUAAAGAGCUCGUAGGCGGCUUGGCAAGUCGGAUGUGAAAACUCCAGGCUCAACCUGGAGCCGCCAUUCGAUACUGCUAUGGCUAGAGUCCGGUAGGGGAGUGUGGAAUUCCCGGUGUAGCGGUGAAAUGCGCAGAUAUCGGGAGGAACACCGAUGGCGAAGGCGGUUCUCUGGGACGGUACUGACGCUGAGACGCGAAAGCGUGGGGAGCGAACAGG
rnacentral:rRNA from 1 species